rnacentral:rRNA from 1 species
UAAUACAUGCAAGUUGAGCGAUGAAGAUUGGUGCUUGCACCAAUUUGAAGAGCAGCGAACGGGUGAGUAACGCGUGGGGAAUCUGCCUUUGAGCGGGGGACAACAUUUGGAAACGAAUGCUAAUACCGCAUAACAACUUUAAACAUAAGUUUUAAGUUUGAAAGAUGCAAUUGCAUCACUCAAAGAUGAUCCCGCGUUGUAUUAGCUAGUUGGUGAGGUAAAGGCUCACCAAGGCGAUGAUACAUAGCCGACCUGAGAGGGUGAUCGGCCACAUUGGGACUGAGACACGGCCCAAACUCCUACGGGAGGCAGCAGUAGGGAAUCUUCGGCAAUGGACGAAAGUCUGACCGAGCAACGCCGCGUGAGUGAAGAAGGUUUUCGGAUCGUAAAACUCUGUUGGUAGAGAAGAACGUUGGUGAGAGUGGAAAGCUCAUCAAGUGACGGUAACUACCCAGAAAGGGACGGCUAACUACGUGCCAGCAGCCGCGGUAAUACGUAGGUCCCGAGCGUUGUCCGGAUUUAUUGGGCGUAAAGCGAGCGCAGGUGGUUUAUUAAGUCUGGUGUAAAAGGCAGUGGCUCAACCAUUGUAUGCAUUGGAAACUGGUAGACUUGAGUGCAGGAGAGGAGAGUGGAAUUCCAUGUGUAGCGGUGAAAUGCGUAGAUAUAUGGAGGAACACCGGUGGCGAAAGCGGCUCUCUGGCCUGUAACUGACACUGA